UUGCAACUUGUGUUUAGGUUGAAGAAGAAAGUAUAACAGAUUUUAGUUACAAGAAUGUGUAAAGCCAAAGAAGAUUUAUUUGAAGCCAAAGAAGAUUUAUAUGAAGCCAAAGAAGAUUUAUAUGACACGUUUUUAUUUGCUCUUUCACGAUUAAAGAACUAUUCAGAAUCAAACUAAGAAAUUAUUAUAAAGAACAAGUUAUUAGGCGACGUUACCACUUAAAGUGCUAAACAACUCUUGAAGAUUUGGCUAAGGCAGUCCUGUGACCGUGAAGGAGAUAAAAAUGAUUCCAAACGAGCGCUUAUGUCAAAAAAAAAUCUAGAUUCAAUUGUUUUACCAAGAAUAUGCUUAAUGGAUUAAACUAAGAGAUCGGUGAAGUUUGAAAUAUUCCGGAUUGGCGGAUUAGAGGAUUGACUGCUUUUAAACUUUAGCGCUGCCUUGACUAUUAUGCGGAUUUACUACGGUUAUUGCGGUUUAAUAAGUCGCAAUUUUCUUGAAUAUAAUACACAACGUAAAGUUUUAAGUUUUUGUUUAAGUAAACCGGUUGCAGAAAAUUAAAAACUCAACCGGUAACAAUUCUUUAGAUUUCAUUUUCUUUCAAGAAAGAAAAAAAUUUUACAUUUA
rnacentral:lncRNA from 1 species